rnacentral:rRNA from 1 species
GAUGAACGCUAGCUACAGGCUUAACACAUGCAAGUCGAGGGGUAACAAGAGGAAAGCUUGCUUUUCUUGUUGACGACCGGCGCACGGGUGAGUAACGCGUAUCCAACCUGCCUAUAACUAGGGAAUAACCUUGCGAAAGUAAGACUAAUACCCUAUGAUUUCCUUUGAUGACAUCAGAUUAGGAAUAAAGAUUUAUCGGUUAUAGAUGGGGAUGCGUCGGAUUAGCUUGUUGGCGGGGUAACGGCCCACCAAGGCAACGAUCAGUAGGGGUUCUGAGAGGAAGGGCCCCCACAUUGGAACUGAGACACGGUCCAAACGCCUACGGGAGGCAGCAGUGAGGAAUAUUGGUCAAUGGGCGGAAGCCUGAACCAGCCAAGUAGCGUGCAGGAUGACGGCCCUAUGGGUUGUAAACUGCUUUUAUACAGGAAUAAAGUUAGCCACGUGUGGUUAUUUGUAGGUACUGUAUGAAUAAGGACCGGCUAAUUCCGUGCCAGCCGCCGCCGUAA